rnacentral:lncRNA from 1 species
CCGGUGAAGCUUCUUGCUAUCUUCGAUGGCCGUUCAACAUAGAGAAGCUUCUGAAAAUAAUUUGACAGUACUUUUGCAUAGUAACAGCAGAAAUGAAUAGUGAUCGAAGGGCAAAAGCCUUUUAUAGGCAGACCGAUGGUCUAGAUUGAUUGAUCUCCUUGUCGAUUUUCGACAUCUGGUGUUAAUCCGAUGCUCGGUCAAACGGCGGUUAGGUGUAUCUUUCC